AGCGCCGGUGGACCAGCUCCCGGGUCGUGUAGCGUAUUCCCGGCUUUUUCAGCCCAAACUUGAACUGCCUGAUCCCCCAACUGGAGGAGAAGCCAACCUCGAGCGCUUUAACCCCGCGAUAAUUUAUGCAGAGUGAUCCUCGCCCGGCUCCCGGUGGCUUUUGGUCAUCGUCCCCCUGGCAAAUCCCUCCUUCCCAGAGGCAUUGGGUCGGUGACGUGGAGAGGGAGCAGGGACGGCAGCCCCCACCUCGUGCCCGACUGGGAUUUCAGCCAAAAGGACACAGCCACCUUCCUGAAGCGUGCCAGGAGCUGCCGGGCACAGCCAAGAUGUGCCAAAUCCUCCCAGUUUUACCUUUUUCCAUGCCGACAUCUCCCAUGGGCCCCUCUUGGUGCCGGGCCGUGGUGCCUCGGUUUCCCCGGGGGAUCGUGGCGAGGCCAGUCCUGGUGCGGAGGCUGAUUUGGUGCCCUCCCGGAAAGGCGUAGAAGAGCAAAACCGGGAUUAAACCCUGACGCUUCAGUGUCCCACCGGCAGCGCUCAGCACCGACACCAUCAACACGCCCGCAGUGCCUCCAGCCAGCACUUCCACCGCCGGCAAACUGCCACCUUCCUUCUUUUUUAGGAUAUAUAUUUUUUUUUAAGCUCAAAAAAACAACUAGGCAGCCUCCGCCACCUCAGAGGCAGGACCGUGGUGGGGUCACCUCCGCCCGGGAUCGCCACCAGGGUUUCACCAGCACCGGCCGAGGCAGGACGGGGCCUGACCUGAGGAGGGACUCGGGCUCCCGAAUUUGGGCGCGGGUGUAUAUAGUUUAAGUAGCGCCGGGAUUAAAUAUUAAAUAGCACGUGCUGGGCAGCAGAGGCUUUCCCCUUCGCCAUGCUCCACGCCAUGCCAGGACGCUCCUGUGCGGAGCUGGGCUUUUCCAGCCCCGUGGCGCGCUCGACGUUGGUAAGCAAGUGCCGAUGCUUGAUUCGGUUUUCCCUCUCCUGGGAAAAACAACCCACCCUUGAAAUAAAACCCUUGUGCUGGCCCGA